GGCUCGUUAGCUCAGUGGUAGAGCGCCGAUUUCCUCCAUCGGAGGCGGAGGUUCGAUUCCUUCACGAGUCA